rnacentral:rRNA from 1 species
GACGAACGCUGGCGGCGUGCUUAACACAUGCAAGUCGAACGGAAAGGCCCUUCGGGGUACUCGAGUGGCGAACGGGUGAGUAACACGUGGGUGAUCUGCCCUGCACUUUGGGAUAAGCCUGGGAAACUGGGUCUAAUACCGAAUAGGACCACGCGCUUCAUGGUGUGUGGUGGAAAGCUUUUGCGGUGUGGGAUGGGCCCGCGGCCUAUCAGCUUGUUGGUGGGGUAAUGGCCUACCAAGGCUACGACGGGUAGCCGGCCUGUGAGGGUGACCGGCCACACUGGGACUGAGAUACGGCCCAGACUCCUACGGGAGGCAGCAGUGGGGAAUAUUGCACAAUGGGCGCAAGCCUGAUGCAGCGACGCCGCGUGGGGGAUGACGGCCUUCGGGUUGUAAACCUCUUUCAAUAGGGACGAAGCGCAAGUGACGGUACCUAUAGAAGAAGCACCGGCCAACUACGUG